GGAUGUGAGGGCGAUCUGGCUGCGACAUCUGUCACCCCAUUGAUCGCCAGGGUUGAUUCAGCUGAUCUGGCCGGCCAGGUAAGUGUCCCCUUCCUCCCUCACAGCUUCAUGUGUGUCCCUCCUGAAGCUGCACACUCAGUCGAAGAGGACCACCUUUCACAAUAGAGGAGUACCGAUCUUCAGUGAAAGGUACACCAGUAGCUGCGUUCUCCUGCUUGAACCUCCACACAAGCUCUCAAGGUCCUUUUGCAGGAGAACGUAGGGUAGUCAAGCUUCCUAGACUCCAGACACAUCCAAAUUAGACGUUGCAUGUGGCAGUCUGCCUUUGUUU
rnacentral:snRNA from 1 species